GACGAAGGGGGCUAGCGUUGUUCGGAAUUACUGGGCGUAAAGGGCGCGUAGGCGGCUCGUUUAGUCGGGUGUGAAAUCCCGGGGCUCAACCCCGGAACUGCAUUCGAUACUGGCGGGCUAGAGACCGGAAGAGGUGGGUGGAAUACCCAGUGUAGAGGUGAAAUUCGUAGAUAUUCGGAGGAACACCAGUGGCGAAGGCGGCUCACUGGCUCGAUACUGACGCUGAGGUGCGAAAGCGUGGGGAGCAAACAGG
rnacentral:rRNA from 1 species